rnacentral:rRNA from 1 species
CAGUAGCCGCGGGAAUACGUAGGUGGCAAGCGUUGUCAGGAUUUAUUGGGCGUAAAGCGAGCGCAGGCGGUUCCUUAAGUCUGAUGUGAAAGCCCCCGGCUCAACCGGGGAGGGUCAUUGGAAACUGGGGAACUUGAGUGCAGAAGAGGAGAGUGGAAUUCCAUGCGUAGCGGUGAAAUGCGUAGAUAUAUGGAGGCACACCAGUGGCGAAGGCGACUCUCUGGUCUGUAACUGACGCUGAGGCUCGAAAGCGUGGGUAGCAAACAGGAUUAGAUACCCCCGUAGUCCCUGUCUCUUAUAC